rnacentral:rRNA from 1 species
UACGUAGGGUGCAAGCGUUAAUCGGAAUUACUGGGCGUAAAGCGUGCGCAGGCGGCUUUGCAAGACAGAUGUGAAAUCCCCGGGCUUAACCUGGGAACUGCAUUUGUGACUGCAUGGCUGGAGUGCGGCAGAGGGGGAUGGAAUUCCGCGUGUAGCAGUGAAAUGCGUAGAUAUGUGGCGGAACACCGAUGGCGAAGGCAGCCCCCUGGGCUGAGAUUGACGCUCAGGCACGAAAGCGUGGGGAGCAAACAGG